rfam:Bacillus badius strain MTCC 1458 Contig2, whole genome shotgun sequence.
CGGGCAGUAUCUGAAGAAAGAACUGCACUUGUCUGACGUUUAGCCGCUGGCACAAUGAAAUAAGCGAAAGUUCUGCCUUGAUCCAAAUUGGACAGGGACAGAGGG